rnacentral:rRNA from 1 species
AAUAGAUAGGGAGGCAAGAGACAACCUGGCGAACUGAAACAUCUUAGUAGCCAGAGGAAAAGAAAGCAAAAGCGAUUCCCUGAGUAGUGGCGAGCGAAAUGGGAACAGCCUAAACCGUCCAUUUUUUAUGGCGGGGUUGUGGGAGAGCGACAUAAGUUACGAGUUACUAGACGAAGCAGCUGAGUCCUGCACCUUAGAUGGUGAUAGUCCAGUAGUUGAAAGUAUCUCUAGCAAACGCUAACACCCGAGUAGCAUGGGGCACGUGAAAUCCCGUGUGAAUCAGCGAGGACCACCUCGUAAGGCUAAAUACUCCUGGGUGACCGAUAGUGAAGUAGUACCGUGAGGGAAAGGUGAAAAGAACCCCCAUCGGGGAGUGAAAUAGAACAUGAAACCGUAAGCCUCCAAGCAGUGGGAGGAGAAUGGAAUCUCUGACCGCGUGCCUGUUGAAGAAUGAGCCGGCGACUUAUAGGUAGUGGCCUGGUUAAGGUUUUCCGGAGCCAUAGCGAAAGCGAGUCUUUCUAGGGCGAAUGUCACUACUUAUGGACCCGAACCCGGGUGAUCUAACCAUGGCCAGGGUGAAGCUUGGGUGAAGCCAAGUGGAGGUCCGAACCGACUGAUGUUGAAAAAUCAGCGGAUGAGCUGUGGUUAGGGGUGAAAUGCCACUCGAACUCGGAGCUAGCUGGUUCUCCCCGAAAUGCGUUGAGGCGCAGCGGUUGACUGGACUGCCUAGGGGUAAAGCACUGUUUCGGUGCGGGCUGCGAAAGCGGUACCAAAUCGAGGCAAACUCUGAAUACUAGGCAUGAAAGAGGUCAGCCAGUAAGACGGUGGGGGAUAAGCUUCAUCGUCAAGAGGGAAACAGCCCAGACCACCAGCUAAGGCCCCUAAAUGACCGCUCAGUGGCAAAGGAGGUGAGAGUGCAAAGACAGCCAGGAGGUUUGCCUAGAAGCAGCCACCCUUGAAAGAGUGCGUAAUAGCUCACUGAUCGAGCGCUCUUGCGCCGAAGAUGAACGGGACUAAGCGGUCUGCCGAAGCUGUGGGAUUCCCUCCCAUCCGGGAGGGCNUCGGUAGGGGACGUUCNGCAAACGGNAGAAGCAUCAGUGCAAACAGGUGUGGACGAAGCGGAAGUGAGAAUGUCGGCUUGAGUAACGCAAACAUUGGUGAGAAUCCAAUGCCCCGAAAACCCAAGGGUUCCUCCGCAAGGCUCGUCCACGGAGGGUGAGUCAGGGCCUAAGAUCAUGCCGAACGGCGCAGUCGAUGGACAACAGGUCAAGAUUCCUGUACUGCCCCUUGUCGGCAAUAAGAGGGACGGAGGAGGCUAAGCUAGCCGAACAAUGGUCAUCGGUUCAAGGGUCAAAAGCCUGAGUACUAGGCACCUACGGGUCCGAAGUAGCUGAUGCCACGCUCCCAAGAAAAGCUCUUACGCCAAAAAUUGUUUUGCCUCCCUAAGGACCGGAUCCUUCUCUCCCCGUAUGGGGCGUGAGGGGUGACACGCCGCAAAGCGCCUCGGUCCUACGCCGCUCCGCCCUUUAGGCCAGUGGUUCCCGCUCCCUCCUCUCUCUCGUGAGGGCGGUCCGUCAGGGCCGCCUACGUGAGGCCCCUCACGGGGUCCCCCCUAAAGGGGGGGAGGCAAGGGGGCGGGAGUCCUGACCCCGGAGGGAGACAACAAAAAGAAGACAAGUGGGCACCUGUACCCGAAACCGACACAGGUGGGUAGGUAGAGAAUACCUAGGGGCGCGAGACAACUCUCUCUAAGGAACUCGGCAAGAUGGCCCCGUAACUUCGGGAGAAGGGGUGCCCCUCUGGGCCGCAGUGACCAGGCCCAGGCGACUGUUUACCAAAAACACAGGUCUCCGCAAAGUCGAAAGACGACGUAUGGGGGCUGACGCCUGCCCAGUGCCGGAAGGUUAAGGAAGUUGGUGACUCGAGUACGGGGAAGCUGGCGACCGAAGCCCCGGUGAACGGCGGCCGUAACUAUAACGGUCCUAAGGUAGCGAAAUUUCUUGUCGGGUAGAACUUGCCCGAGUGUGCAUGUGAGUUCAACAAGCAAACCAACUCAUAUCGGUGAACCCUUCAUUCGAAUUAAUGAAUAUGGGAAUACCGAGGGAACUUUCAAAUCAACGAACACUUUUACUGAUUUGCUAGASUCCGUAACGACUGACUCGAAAGAGGAGGCCACCUGAAAAAUUUUYCUGAAAAACUCCCCCAAAAAGGGAACUCCGGGGAAAAGGGAGGCAACACGUUGGCACUUCCAAGUUCGAAAUUAAUCAUGGAGACAUAUGAGCUUGAAUCCUUUUUGGAUUACCGGAUUUGUUGAUGGAGAAGGUUGUUUUUCUGUAAGUUUUAGUAUACGAAACAAAUGGAUCGAAGUUCGACCCAGUUUUUCUAUCAGCCAAACUGGAAAACGAUUUUGCACAACAUUAGAAGCAAUUAAAGAAUUCUUUCAGUGUGGAAGUAUUCGAUAUUCUGCUGUGGAUGGAACUUACAAAUAUGAAGUUCGAUCUCUUGAAGACUUACGCAUUCGAAUUUUGCCACAUUUUCAAACCUAUCCUUUGGAGACACCAAAGAAAGAAGAUUGGCAACAACUGUGUCGAGUUUGUGAUUUGAUGAAGUGUAAUUUACAAAAAAACAAAGAAGGUCUUACAGAAAUUAUCGAGCUUGGCUAUUCAAUGAAUCCGUCCGGAAAGCGUAAAUAUAGCAAAGAUGAACUCUUAAAAUUAAUUGGAAGUUGAAGGUAUAGUCUGAUCAUUAUGGAAACAUAAUGCCUAACAAAUUUGAAGUUCCGACCCGCACGAAAGGCGUAACGAUCUGGGCACUGUCUCGGAGAGAGGCUCGGUGAAAUAGACUUGUCUGUGAAGAUGCGGACUACCUGCACCUGGACAGAAAGACCCUAUGAAGCUUUACUGUUCCCUGGGAUGGGGUUUGGGCCUUUCUUGCGCAGUCUAGGUGGGAGGCGAAGACGGCGUCCUUCCGGGGACGCUCGAGCCGAAGAUGAGAGACCACCCUAGAAAGGCUAGGAUUCUAACCUUAUGCCUAGAAGAAGGCUAGGGGACAGUCCCAGGUAGACAGUUUCUAUGGGGCGUAGGCCUCCCAAAGGGUAACGGAGGCGUGCAAAGGUUUCCUCAGGCUGGACGGAAAUCAGCCUUCGAGUGCAAAGGCAGAAGGGAGCUUGACUGCAAGACCCACCCNNCGAGCAGGGACGAAAGUCGGCCUUAGUGAUCCGACGGUUCCGAGUGGAAGGGCCGUCGCUCAACGGAUAAAAGUUACUCUAGGGAUAACAGGCUGAUCUUCCCCAAGAGUUCACA